rnacentral:tRNA from 1 species
GAGGGUGUAGCUCAGUGGCAGAGCACAUGCUUAGCAUGCACGAGGCCAUGGGUUCCAUCCCCAGUACCUGCA